rnacentral:rRNA from 1 species
GACGAACGCUGGCGGCGUGCUUAACACAUGCAAGUCGAACGAAGUGGCGAACGGGUGAGUAACGCGUAAUCAACCUGCCCUUCAGCGGGGGACAACAGUUGGGAACGACUGCUCAUACCGCAUCCUGCAGGAGGGGAUUUAGUCUGGUUAGCUAGUUGGAGGGGUAACGGCCCACCAAGGCUAUGAUCAGUAGCAGGGCUGAGAGGAUGAACGGCCACAUUGGGACUGAGACACGGCCCAGACUCCUACGGGAGGCAACAGUGGGGAUUCUUCCGUAAUGGACGAAAGUCUGACUGAGCAACGCCGCGUGAGUGAUGACGGCCUUCGGGUUGUAAAGCUCUGUUAAUCGGGACGCGGUACCGGAAUAGAAAGCCACGGCUAACUACGUGCCAGCAGCCGCGGUAAUAC